GCCGCUGCGCGCUGCUGCUUCCAGUCGCUGCAUCGUCGGGCUCUCACACCGCCACGCUCCCUAAUGUUGACGUCGCUGCUACCGUGACCGAGACCAUCGAAUCGAGCACUCUCCACCGUGGACACCCCACAUCCAAAGCUCCUCAGCCGAGUCCCAGUCAAGUCCAGUAGAUUCCCUGCCAUUGAAUUUACAGUGCGCUCGGCAAUUCUGUACCGAGUCCAGUGAAUCUUUGCUGCCACCAUCGUGCCUAUGUGACGUUCAGUUUGCUAGCACUUGGUCUUGCUUUCUUGUUCAGUGGGUCCAACGAAGUCAAUAGAAUUCGUUGGAUCCAACUUGAAUUAUCUGCAAGUUUCUUUGGUCUUGCUGGGAAGUCCGAUAAAUCUCCUUGCCGGUUAUUGUGAUUCCCUUUGAUGACGAAGCCAUGAAGUAGCAGCUCGGCGCCUAACUCCGCCGAGAUCUCCGUGAGCAUCCCUCACCACGAGCCGCUCGUGAUCCAUCACCAGUCCACCCCAUCCCGAUCCACUAGUCCAAUCCCGAGACAUUCAAACUUGGAAAGCAAAUAUUCAAAUUCGGUAAAAAGCUCAUAAAAUUUGACUUUUGAGUAUAUUGUUUCCUUAUUUGAAAUGUUGCAAUUCUGUGUGAAUCUUUGAAUGAUAUUAUCAUAUCUAUUA